rnacentral:rRNA from 1 species
GUCGAGCGGUAGAGAGAAGCUUGCUUCUCUUGAGAGCGGCGGACGGGUGAGUAAUGCCUAGGAAUCUGCCUGGUAGUGGGGGAUAACGCUCGGAAACGGACGCUAAUACCGCAUACGUCCUACGGGAGAAAGCAGGGGACCUUCGGGCCUUGCGCUAUCAGAUGAGCCUAGGUCGGAUUAGCUAGUUGGUGGGGUAAUGGCUCACCAAGGCGACGAUCCGUAACUGGUCUGAGAGGAUGAUCAGUCACACUGGAACUGAGACACGGUCCAGACUCCUACGGGAGGCAGCAGUGGGGAAUAUUGGACAAUGGGCGAAAGCCUGAUCCAGCCAUGCCGCGUGUGUGAAGAAGGUCUUCGGAUUGUAAAGCACUUUAAGUUGGGAGGAAGGGCAGUAACCUAAUACCUUGCUGUCUUGACGUUACCGACAGAAUAAGCACCGGCUAACUCUGUGCCAGCAGCCGCGGUAAUACAGAGGGUGCAAGCGUUAAUCGGAAUUACUGGGCGUAAAGCGCGCGUAGGUGGUUUGUUAAGUUGGAUGUGAAAUCC